AGAACGAACGCUGGCGGCAUGCCUAAUACAUGCAAGUCGAACGAACACUUCGGUGUUAGUGGCGCACGGGUGCGUAACACGUGGGAAUCUGCCCUUGGGUUCGGAAUAACAGUUGGAAACGACUGCUAAUACCGGAUGAUAUCGAAAGAUCAAAGAUUUAUCGCCCAGGGAUGAGCCCGCGUAGGAUUAGCUAGUUGGUGAGGUAAAGGCUCACCAAGGCGACGAUCCUUAGCUGGUCUGAGAGGAUGAUCAGCCACACUGGGACUGAGACACGGCCCAGACUCCUACGGGAGGCAGCAGUAGGGAAU
rnacentral:rRNA from 1 species